rnacentral:rRNA from 1 species
AAAGCGAGUCUGAAUAGGGCGUUUAGUAUUUGGUCGUAGACCCGAAACCAGGUGAUCUACCCUUGGUCAGGUUGAAGUUCAGGUAACACUGAAUGGAGGACCGAACCGACUUACGUUGAAAAGUGAGCGGAUGAACUGAGGGUAGCGGAGAAAUUCCAAUCGAACCUGGAGAUAGCUGGUUCUCUCCGAAAUAGCUUUAGGGCUAGCCUCAAGUGAUGAUUAUUGGAGGUAGAGCACUGUUUGGACGAGGGGCCCCUCUCGGGUUACCGAAUUCAGACAAACUCCGAAUGCCAAUUAAUUUAACUUGGGAGUCAGAACAUGGGUGAUAAGGUCCGUGUUCGAAAGGGAAACAGCCCAGACCACCAGCUAAGGUCCCAAAAUAUAUGUUAAGUGGAAAAGGAUGUGGCGUUGCCCAGACAACUAGGAUGUUGGCUUAGAAGCAGCCAUCAUUUAAAGAGUGCGUAAUAGCUCACUAGUCGAGUGACACUGCGCCGAAAAUGUACCGGG